UAAACGACUCUCGGCAACGGAUAUCUCGGCUCUCGCAUCGAUGAAGAACGUAGCGAAAURCGAUACUUGGUGUGAAUUGCAGAAUCCCGUGAACCAUCGAGUCUUUGAACGCAAGUUGCGCCCGAAGCCGUCAGGCCGAGGGMACGUCUGCCUGGGCGUCACAC
rnacentral:rRNA from 1 species